rnacentral:lncRNA from 1 species
UCAACAUUUUCCACAGUUUGAUCAUAUCUGGACAAUACCUCUGCCAGGUGGCUCUACUGUGAUGGAAAGUUUAAUGGCUUGGGAUAGAGCUGCUUUCAAAUUGUAGCCUUGUGUUCAGUGGAAUGACCUUGUGUAAUUGGUUGACUCCCGGUGUCUCCGAUCCUCAUUUGCAAAAUGAGGAUAACAAUGCCUAUGUCAUAGAAAACUUAAUGAGGGUUUAAUUAGAUAAUAUGUGUGGAGGCUGUGUAGCAUUGUGCUCAGAACCCACGUUUGAAAUGACUCACUUGGCUUACACCCAGACUUUUCCACUUACUAAUUACGUGACCUCGAGCAAAUUCCUUGACCUCUCUGGACUUUGUCUUUUUCCUUUGUAAAGUAGGGAUUCUAAACUGUGCUAAGGUCUGUAGUAAGGACAAGGUGAUUUAUAUAUGGGAAGUGCUUAACAUAGUACCUGGCACACUGUACAUUUUAGCAGGUUAAGCUAUUGUUACUUUGUGGCAAGAAACCCAGUCUAAUGUUUGGCAUAUAAUCAGCAUUUAUAUGUUUACUGAGUUUGUUAAUAAAUCUUUUUUUUUUUUUGAUAAAAGGUCUCCUGUAGCCCAUCCUGGUCUCAAACUCCCUGUGUAGCUGAUCAGAGUGGAACUUCUGAUCCUCCUGCCUCCACCUUCAGUUGCUAGGAGUACAGGCAUGAACACACCAUGCUUGGUGCCUGUGGGACUUUGGGAAGAAACCUAAGGCCUCAUGAAUGCUAAGCAAACACUACCUCCCUAGCCUCUGAAUUAAUCUCAUUGAUAUGGUCUUCUUUCCUAUGAAUAUAAGUACAGUCUCACACACCCUCUCCCAAGACAGGCGAACUACUUCCAUUUCUAUGCUUGUAUUUUCAUCGUUUUUGCCCUUGGUUGUGGUUUUCCUCAUUUUUAGAAUGUCAUAAUCUCUCUUUGCUGACUAUGGAAAUUCUGGUUCUGUAAAGUCGGUCCUAAUCCUCGUCUCCAUGAAACUUUCCCUCAUCAUUUCUGGGAUCAGCAAAGUUUCGAUUUCCUGAACCAUUUACCAGCCUCUUUUUCUUUUUCUCUUCUUUUCUUUCCUUUCCUUUUAUCUUCUUCUUCUUCCUCCUCCUCCUCCUCUUUUGACAGGGUUUUGCUAUAUAGCUCAGGCCUGCCUCAAAUUUUCCAUCCUCUGCCUCAGCCUCCUAAAUGCUAGGAAUGCAACAUUAACCACCUUACUGGGGUCCAGUUACUCUUGCUUUAGUACUUGAUGGUAAUAUUCUAGUGGAAACACUUAGCUCCUGUUUCCUGUGUGCUGGUUUUGUCUUCAAAUAGUUUAGGAAAUAUUCUCCAAUUUAGUAUUGUUUCAGAACACAUACUAAACAUAUAGUAAUUAUUUAACUUAUGUUGCAUCAUCUUUUGGGAUAAGAUUCCCAUAUUAUAUUUAGACUAUGUAUUUAUCAGAGUUCUCUAGAGUCACAGAAUUUAUGGAAUAUAUUUACAUAUUAAGAAAUUAGAAUGAUUUAUAGUCUGCAGUCCAACUAACCCAACAAUGGGCGGCUGUGAAUGAUAAGUCAGAGAGUCUAGUAUUGCUCGGUCCCGUGCAGGUAGGUGUUUUAACUAGUCCUCUGUAUAAGCUGGCAUCCUAAAGAAGUAGGCUCCAACAGAUGUGCUGGCAGGUAAGCACAAGCAGGCAAAGAAGGAAGCCUUCCCUUUUCCAUUGUCCUUACUUACGUAGGCCUCCAGCAGCCGAAGGUACAGUCCAGAUUAAAGGUGUGUACCACCGUGAUUGGACCUAAGCUUUUCUUUACUUGGAAUUUGGUCUGUCCCAGGCUGGCCUUGAACUCAGAAAUCUGCUCGCCUCUGUCUCCUGAGAUUAAAGGUGUGCACCACCUUGCCUGAGCCUAAGCUUUUCAUGGUUACUAUGCCUCAAGAUCUGGAUCACAGAUGUGCCCACCAUUUCUGGAUUGUAGUUCAUUCCAAACAUUGUCAAGUUGACAAUCAGGAAUAGUCACCACAGGAUAGGAUUUGAUACUUUUUUUUUUUUUUUCAAGAAAGAGUCCAGAAUUCUGGAAUAAUUUUUCCGAUCUACUGUCUUACCAAUGGAUUGGCGUGUGACAGAUGCAGCUUGCUUUGGCUAAGUAGUACUGUAUAAGCCAAGGGCUGGAGCCUCUGGGUCAGAGGGUUGGAGAAGGGCUGAAGCCUAGGAGCCCUGCAGGUGGAGGGCCAGAGACUGACCCUUGCUGAUGCAGACAGGGAAGUGUCCCCGUUUAGAUCUGGUUCUUGCCACAACAGGCUUUGCCUCUCGAACUUUCUCAGGCUCCUUACACCUUUACACAACGUUUGCCCUAUUGAGAAACUGGUUCUGCUUGAAACUUCCCAUGGCUUGAAGCAAGUAACCAUGACGGUGUUUGCAUACCAGUGGGGUUUUACCCUCCCGUAAGUGCCAAUAAGGAUGAAGUGGUAUUUAGAUGACGUGAUAUGAAGGACAGCAUUGCAGCCUGUACAGCCCAGAAUGUUUGAACUAUGUGAAAGGUUCAUACCAGAUUUCACAAUACACGGGCGGCCAAGAAAGCCUAGCCCACAGUACAAGGUGAACGCACCCUGUCCCAGUUCUCAUGGGGUUCUCAGCUCCCCUCACACCCCUUUCUGCACUCAUGCAGUACCUGUGGUCUGGACCACUCAGCUCAGUUUUGCAUUAGGCUUCCCCUGCCCCCAAGGUAACUGUGUUUCUCAGCUAGCUGUAAUUUCCCUAAGAACACAAACAAUAUCCUAUACUUCUUUACUGCCUAUCAGAGUCUCAGCUAUAGUUUAACUAGAGGACACAAUAAAAUAUCAUCAAUAAAUGCUGCUUGACUUGACUUGAACAUUCAUUUAAAAAAAGGUCCACGUAAAGAAGGAAUCAGAAGAUAAAAAAAAUUGUGGGUAUGUUUGCAUAUAUAUGUAUGUUAGAGACAGGAUCUCACUCUAAGCCCAGGCUGACCUGAAACUCACUAUGUAGCCAAGGCUAGCCUUGGUUGAAGAGCAAUGCUAUUGCUUCAGCCUCCUGAGUCCUGGGAUUACAGGCUGGAAGCGGCCAUCGUUAUUUGUAAUGGGAACGACAGUGGUAGUGUCCUUAGACACUGUAUUGGUACUUUCCUAGGUAAGAGAAAAAGAGGUUCAACCCCAUGCCCAAGGCCCCUUCCAUGUCUUAUGUCCCCUUUCCAAUCACAGAGGUCAUACAGUUAGAACUUGAGGAGCUUCAGAGACGAAUUCAAGUCUCUCAUUUCAUAGCUGGAAGCAAGUAAGAGCAGCUGGUUGGGGUGGAGAAGGUGUGUCUAGGCUUCACUGUAAUGGUGGGAUAUCUCUCAUCUUCAGAGCCUCAGCUCUUCAAGUUUAAAGUGAGGACAGUGAAGCUUAAAAUUAUUUUCACUGGAUAUUUGUCUAAAAUUAUCUUGAGUGCAUCUGUAUAACUUGAAACAAAGGAAUUCAGAAGACAGGAGUACUGAAUUCUACGGAGAAAUCAAAGGUCUCAAAGUUUGUCCUUUGCUAACUACAGGGUUUGCUCCUGAUGGAGUGUUCAUGGCCUUUUACCCCCUCUUUUUUUCCUUUUGGAAAAAAACCCACCUCUGAUAUAUUUAUGCGAUUGGCCUUGCAACCUGAUAUUUUUCACCUGUCUGAGGACAGACUCUGCUGUUUAUUCAUCAAUCAACUGAAGCUGAACUGAAAACAUCGCUGUUGAGGUUGUUAAAAGAAUUUCGAUGUAAUGGUGAUGCCCACUGAGCCUUUGUAGUGCUGUUUAGUCUCAGAAGCAACAUCAUCGUUAAUAAAAAUGAGAGGCUAAUGGUAAACCUUUCUUUCCCUCACUGGACAAGUUUUAAUGGGAUAACUGUUUCUUUAGAGAUUUGUAGUUAGUUAACAUCACUGUGUUUUGUUGUAAAUGUUUUAGUAUGAAGCAGAAUUAGAUUAUACC